rnacentral:rRNA from 1 species
AGCGAACGCUGGCGGCAGGCUUAACACAUGCAAGUCGAGCGGGCACUUUCGGGUGUCAGCGGCGGACGGGUGAGUAACGCGUGGGAACGUGCCCUCUGGUUCGGAAUAACUCAGGGAAACUUGAGCUAAUACAGGAUACGCCCUUUUGGGGAAAGGCUUGCUGCCGGAGGAUCGGCCCGCGUCUGAUCAGCUAGUUGGUGAGGUAACGGCUCACCAAGGCGACGAUCAGUAGCUGGUCUGAGAGGAUGAUCAGCCACACUGGGACUGAGACACGGCCCAGACUCCUACGGGAGGCAGCAGUGGGGAAUAUUGGACAAUGGGCGCAAGCCUGAUCCAGCCAUGCCGCGUGAGUGAUGAAGGCCUUAGGGUUGUAAAGCUCUUUUAUCCGGGACGAUAAUGACGGUACCGGAGGAAUAAGCCCCGGCUAACUUCGUG